GCAGUAAUAAAUUUACGUGGUGUUUCCACAAACAAAAACAAUUUUAAUAGAAACUAGGCAUGUGAGUUAUGUAAAAUUGUGAACUGGGUAUAAACAAUAAUGGUAGAGUCACAACUGGAAACAUUCGUCCCAUGUGAGAUUGACACAGAUUUAUAAUCAGAUGUUUGCAACAUAGUACAUGAUCGAACCCCAAUCACAAAGGCGAAUUGCACAUGCACACAAUUAAAAAC